CCCAGGUUCAAGUAAAUAGGAACGUCAAAUAAUUAACAAUAUUUAAUAUAGUUUACAAUAUUUAUUUUUCCAGUUUUUGUUACAAUCAUCCAUUAUCUUCCGCUUUUCAACCCAGGUUAACAAUUCCCAUUAGAUCUGAAGAGC